GGGCUGGGGCUCAGUGGCAAAGUGCUCGCCUAACGCGCGCGAGGCCCUGGGUUCAAUCCUCAGGACCA
rnacentral:tRNA from 1 species